rnacentral:rRNA from 1 species
AACGGUGGAUCUCUGGGCUCGUGGAUCCGUGAAUAACGCAACCAGCUGCGAUAAUUAGUGUGAAUUGGAGAAUUCAGUGAAUCAUCGAAUCUUUGAACCCUUAUGGCGCUCUGGGGUUCUCCGGGGAGCCCGGCCGUCUGAGUGUCGG